UACACGCUGUGACUAGCAUAUCAAUAAGCGGAGGAAAAGAAACUAACAAGGAUUCCCCUAGUAACGGCGAGUGAAGCGGGAAGAGCUCAAAUUUGAAAUCUUAAAGGGUUUCCCUUUACGAAUUGUAGUUUAAAGAAGUGUUUUCUGUUGAGGUUUUGGUAAAAGUUCUUUGGAAUAGGACAUCAUAGAGGGUGAGAAUCCCGUAUUUGACCUUUACUUUCAACUUUGUGAUACACUUUCAAAGAGUCCGGAUUGUUUGGGAAUGCAGUCCAAAAUGGGUGGUAAAUUUCAUCUAAAGCUAAAUAUUGGCGAGAGACCGAUAGCGAACAAGUACCGUGAGGGAAAGAUGAAAAGAACUUUGAAAAGAGAGUUAAACAGUACGUGAAAUUGUCAAAAGGGAAGCGUUUGACACCAGUGUUGUUUUUCUGAAAAUCAAUUAAAGAACUGUUUAUGCUAAGCUUGUUUAGACUUUAUCAGCUAUCUGUUUAGUUUUGAGCUUUUCUUUAAUGCACUUUUCAGUUAACAAGUCAACAUCAAUUUCUUUUGCUGUAAAAAAGCUUGAGGAAGGUGGCUUGAGAUUCGUCUUAAGUGUUUAUAGCCUCUUGCCUAUGCGGUCGGAGAGAUUGAGGUCUGCAGCGUAGAUCCUUCGGGGCUAAAUGCAUUUGUGCUAAGUUAUAGCACUUUAUAGACAACUUGUUGACUAUGAUUUGUCUUGUAGCUUACUCGCUUAUGUUAUUUUACCUACGCUUAGGAUGUUGAAGAUGUAGCACAUCAU
rnacentral:rRNA from 1 species